rnacentral:rRNA from 1 species
CAUCCUCGGAACCUGAUAGAAAUAUCGGGGUGCCUCCGCAAGGAGGAGCCGAGAGACAGGUGCUGCAUGGCUGUCGUCAGCUCGUGUCGUGAGAUGUUCGGUUAAGUCCGGCAACGAGCGCAACCCCUGCUUCCAGUUGCCAUCAUUCAGUUGGGAACUCUGGAGGGACUGCUGGCGUCAAGCCGGAGGAAGGUGGGGACGACGUCAAGUCAUCAUGGCCUUUAUGGCUGGGGCUACACACGUACUACAAUGGCGUACACAAAGGGCAGCGAGACCGCAAGGUGGAGCAAAUCCCAAAAAAGACGCCUCAGUUCGGAUUGGAGUCUGCAACUCGACUCCAUGAAGUUGGAAUCGCUAGUAAUCGCGGAUCAGCACGCCGCGGUGAAUACGUUCCCGGGCCUUGUACACACCGCCCGUCACACCACGAAAGUUGGAUGGACCUGAAGUCGUUGAGCCAACCCGCAAGGGGGGCAGGCGCCAACGGUCUGUUCGAUGAUUGGGGUGAAGUCGUAACAAGGUAACC